rnacentral:rRNA from 1 species
GACGGGGGAUGCAAGUGUUAUCCGGAAUCACUGGGCGUAAAGCGUCUGCAGGUGGUUUCCUAAGUCCACUGUUAAACCUUGAGGCUCAACCUCAAAUCUGCAUUGGAAACUAGGAGACUUGAGUAUAGUAGGGGUAGAGGGAAUUUCCAGUGGAGCGGUGAAAUGCGUAGAUAUUGGGAAGAACACCGGUGGCGAAGGCGGCGAGCUGGUCCAUUACUGACGCUGAGGCGCGACAGCGUGGGGAGCAAACAGG